UACGUAGGGUGCGAGCGUUGUCCGGAAUUACUGGGCGUAAAGCGUGCGCAGGCGGUUAUAUAAGACAGUUGUGAAAUCCCCGGGCUCAACCUGGGAACUGCAUCUGUGACUGUAUAGCUAGAGUACGGUAGAGGGGGGAUGGAAUUCCGCGUGUAGCAGUGAAAUGCGUAGAUAUCUGGAGGAACACCGGUGGCGAAGGCGGCAUCCUGGACCGGCAUUGACGCUGAGGCGCGAAAGCCAGGGGAGCAAACGGG
rnacentral:rRNA from 1 species